CUCUGAUGAAAAAGCGAUUUCAAAAAACAGACUUGGCUACUUCUUUAACAGAAAUGCAUAUCUGCAGCCACUCUUGAAGAAUUAUAGAAAUUAUGCAAAGGGUGAUGACUCUUCAGAAGAAAAUGGCGAUAGCUCAGAUGAGAGUGAAUCCAGUGAAGUUGGUACCAAUGGAAACAAGGCAGGUCCGGUAGGGACUAAACCAGCAGGCGCUGAAGAAAAAGCAGCUGGAAAAGAAGAUGACUCUGAAGAAGAAGAGGCUGAAAAUGGUG